rnacentral:rRNA from 1 species
UGGACAGAAAGACCCUAUGAAGCUUUACUGUAACUUGAAAUUGAAAUUGGACUUUAUUCGCGCAGUAUAGGUGGGAGGUGUUGAUUAUAAUCUUGCGGGAUUAUUGGAGCCAUCAGUGAGAUACCACUCUUGUAAUGUUAGAUUUCUAACUUUGAAUCAUUAUCUGGUCAAAGAACAGUUUCAGGCGGGCAGUUUGACUGGGGCGGUCGCCUCCUAAAUGGUAACGGAGGCGUACAAAGGUUUCCUCAGAUCGGUCAGAAAUCGAUCGUAGAGUGUAAAGGCAGAAGGAAGCUUGACUGUGAGACCUACAAGUCGAGCAGGGACGAAAGUCGGUCUUAGUGAUCUGACGGUACUGAGUGGAAAGGCCGUCACUCAACGGAUAAAAGUUACUCUAGGGAUAACAGGCU